UAAGGAAUAUUGGUCAAUGGACGCAAGUCUGAACCAGCCAUGCCGCGUGAAGGAUGAAGGUCCUCUGGAUUGUAAACUUCUUUUAUCUGGGACGAAAACGGGAUUUUUAUCUCAAUUGACGGUACCAGAGGAAUAAGCACCGGCUAACUCCGUGCCAGCAGCCGCGGUAAUACGGAGGGUGCGAGCGUUAUCCGGAUUUACUGGGUUUAAAGGGUGCGUAGGUGGGCGUAUAAGUCAGUGGUGAAAUCUCCGAGCUUAACUUGGAAACUGCCGUUGAUACUAUAGGUCUUGAAUUAUCUGGAGGUAAGCGGAAUAUGUCAUGUAGCGGUGAAAUGCUGAGAUAUGACAUAGAACACCAAUUGCGAAGGCAGCUUACUACAUAUAAAUUGACGCUGAGGCACGAAAGCGUGUGGAUCAAACA
rnacentral:rRNA from 1 species